AUGGAGGUUCCCAGGUUAGGGGUCAAAUCAGAGCCACAGCUGCUGGCCUACACCAUAGCCACAGCAAUACGAGAUCCAAGCUGUGUCUGAUCUACACCACAGCUCACAGCAACACCGGAUCCUUAACCCACUGAGCGAGGCCAAGGAUCAAACCCACGUCCUCAUGGAUGCUAAUCAGGUUCAUUAACCGUUGAGCCACAAGAGGAACUCCAUGAAUCAGGCUUCAGAACUCAAGCUCCUUCAUUCCCUAACAGCUAUAAGGGGUUUCAGGGAUGGCUUUGCUGGAGAUGAGGGAAUUCUUCAGCCUCUGGAGCAGACUGAGAGAUUGAGCUUAGAAAACUGAACUUGUGCCUUUCGCAUUAUAGAGGUAUGGCUCCUGUGGUAAGAAGUGACAUGGCAGACUUGCAUUUGAGUAUAAUAUAGUAGAACUAGGAUGCUGCUACUGUUAGCAGUGAAGGAUAACACCCACAGCAAAAAGCUUCCAGUGUCAAAUACAGCAAGAGUUGUCACACAGUACUGUAUAGAUGAAGUGCUUGGAAUUGGUUUUAUACUAUUCUUUACCUUUAUUUUAUAGAAUGGGCUAGUUGAAAGCAGUUAAGAGCUGUGUCAAACCAUGAUUUUCUAUCUCAAGAGGCAACAUCCAAGGAGUCCCACCAUUGCUCAGUGGGAACUAACCUGACUAGGAUCCAUGAGGAUGCAGGUUUGAUCCCUGGCCUUGCUCAGUGGAUUAAGGAUCUGGCAUUGCUGUAAGCUGUGGUGUAGGUCACAGACGUAGCUCAGAUAUGGAGUUGCUAUGGCUGUGGUGUAGGCCAGUGGCUGUGGUGUAGGCUGGCAGCUGUGGCUCUGAUUCGACCCUUAUCCUGGGAACUUCCAUAUGCCUCAGGUGCAGCCCUAAAAAAAAAGAGGCCACAUCAAGAUUGUCUUUCCAUAAUGCAAUUCAUAAGCUUUUAUUCCCUUUGCUUAAUUUUUUUCUUCUAUUUUUAAUUCUUCAUUGCCUACAACAUGAAGUCCUUAACAUGACAUUUAGGGGGGUUUUCGGCUCUAUGUUCCAUCAUUCUCCAACGCAUCAUAUAUUUGGUAAGACCUGUUACUCUCAAUUCUUAAAUAUGUUCCACAUUACUGUGUGUACUGCUCUCCAGCCUAGAAUGCCCUUCCACUUUCUGCCUGGUGUACUCAGCCUUGAAGGUCCCAGGUCAAGGCUGACUUCCAAAAGUAGAGUUAAAUCCUUUCAUCUCUGGGUCCUCUUAGCACUGUAUUUCUCUCUCUCAUUUAUCACACUGCAUUUUAGUUCUUUAUGUGCCAAUCUCUUAUUAGACUAUAAACCCUUUGAAGGUCAGGACCCCUGGACCAGUGAUUUUUACUGAACAGCCAUAUCCUAGAGUACAUUUUGGAAAUUUGUGGGGGCAUUUUUUGUUUUUGUUUUCCUCACAGUGAUGAGUGAGGUUAGGGGUGCUAUAUAACCUGCAGUGGGCAGGAUAAAACAUUUCCCCAAAAUCUGAAUGACCAUCAAAUGUUCCACUGGGCACUGAUGGAAGCAAUCAAACUGUUUACAUAAUCAUCUGAACCUAAGACUUAAUUCUGUUGUAGAUAUGAACAACAUUAAUAAACUCUAACACUUCUAUGAAUUAAACUGCUAUGUAAAUUAAAGGAGGAUUAUUUUAUGGGUUUUUUUUUUUGAAAUUUGCCAAGAAUUUCUGAUGUUGCCACUUGAUCAUUACUAAUGGCAUUGUCACUCACCUUUUCUGAAAUGCCAGUAUAACAUGCCUGUAUCAGACUGCUGAAGCUGUGACAUUCACACUGACUUUCCAUACAAGUAUCUGACUAUUUCUUUAUCUUUUAAUAUAAUUGUGCCCAAGCAUUUACAUAUUAAAAGGAACAUUUUAUUAUAAGUUAAUCUUUUUAUAUGUUUCAUGUAACUCAGGAUCUACUUCACUGGGUUGCUUUGAGGCUUAAAUUAAUUUGAGCUAAUACAUCACACAUUCAGAAUAGCAUCUGACACAGAGAAAAUGCUACAGUAUGGUUGCUGUCACUACUACAGAAAAGUUGUUGAAUAUUCAUUGACAAAUAUUUUAAAUUAUACUUGGAAUAUGUAUUUAAGAAAUCCUAUGAGUUUAUUUCUAGGCUUUAUAUUAUAAUAAUCAGAACCAUUUGAGUGUAACUAAAUGAUCCCAAGAUGUGAUAGAAAGUGCUUCAAUUAUUUCGGUCUAGAAGGAUAAAGUGAGAUAAUUCUUAUUAUGAUCAAUUUUCCCUGAAUGAUUCACAUUCUGUUGUGGUCUUCCUGGGGAGCAAUAACACAAUUUGACAACUUUGAGUUUGGUCUUUGCCUAUAAAACAAUUUUUCUAUAUGCAAGGCUAACAGGUCCAGAGGGAGAAUGGUGACCAUUAAUCUCACUAAUGCUGCUAUACUUAAUAAUUUUGUCUUUUUUUUUGCAAGACAAAUUACAAUGUGAAUGAAGUUUGCAAUAUAUGACUCAUUGACCAUGUAUUUUUUAGCUCUUACUCUCUCUCUUACUCUCUCUCUCUCUUUUUUUUUUGCUUUUUAGAGCCAUACUUGUGCCACACGGAAGUUCCCAGGCUAGGGGUUGGAUCCGAGCUGUAACUGCAGCUGCUGGCCUAUAUCACAGCCACAGCAAUGCCAGAUCCAAGCCAUCUUCUGAACCUCCAUCACAGCUCACAGUAAUGCUGAAUCCUUAACCCACUGAGCAAGGUCAAGGAUCAAACCCAUGUC
rnacentral:lncRNA from 1 species